CCGGCGACCGGCGCACGGGUGAGUAACGCGUAUCCAACCUUCCGUACACUCAGGGAUAGCCUUUCGAAAGAAAGAUUAAUGCCUGAUGGUAUGAUGAGAUUGCAUGAUAGCAUCAUUAAAGAUUUAUCGGUGUACGAUGGGGAUGCGUUCCAUUAGGUAGUAGGCGGGGUAACGGCCCACCUAGCCAACGAUGGAUAGGGGUUCUGAGAGGAAGGUCCCCCACAUUGGAACUGAGACACGGUCCAAACUCCUACGGGAGGCAGCAGUGAGGAAUAUUGGUCAAUGGACGCGAGUCUGAACCAGCCAAGUAGCGUGAAGGAUGACUGCCCUAUGGGUUGUAAACUUCUUUUAUAUGGGAAUAAAGUGGUCCACGUGUGGAUUUUUGUAUGUACCAUAUGAAUAAGGAUCGGCUAACUCCGUGCCAGCAGCCGCGGUAAUACGGAGGAUCCGAGCGUUAUCCGGAUUUAUUGGGUUUAAAGGGAGCGUAGGCGGAUUGUUAAGUCAGUUGUGAAAGUUUGCGGCUCAACCGUAAAAUUGCAGUUGAUACUGGCAGUCUUGAGUGCAGUAGGGGUGGGCGGAAUUCGUGGUGUAGCGGUGAAAUGCUUAGAUAUCACGAAGAACUCCGAUUGCGAAGGCAG
rnacentral:rRNA from 1 species